rnacentral:lncRNA from 1 species
ACUUUUUGAAUUGGUUCUCACUAUUUUGCUUUGCAAGCCUUUGAAGAUGUGGAGGAUGAGGUCUUGGCAUUGGUGCCUUAACCUUCGGCACUACCAGUUCCGGCAUGUCAAUCAUGUGUUCCCUAGACGGGUUCACUUCUUCUUGCGUCUCCUCCACACUUUCAUCAAUAUCAAUUCUCACUUCUUUGUUAGCUUGAACCACAUUGCUUGGGAUUUCAUCUUAUUGAACCAUAACAUCUUCAUCCCUAAUCCUUCUUUGGUUUGAGGUGGUUGCAUCUCCACCUUUUCCACUUCUAGUAGUCAUGGCCAUAGCAUGUACCGUAUUAUUCCCACCCUUCGGGUUCACCACCGUAUCAUUGGGUAGUGCCCCCUUAGGACGAGUGUUCAAAGCUUGUGAGAUCUGGCCUAGUUGAACCUCCAAAUUGCAGAUUGAAGUAUUGUGAGAGGCUAAUUGAGCAUCGGAGUCAGUAUUCUUCUCCAUCAUCUAUUUAAACAUGUUCUCAAUUCUGCCCAUCUCAUUGUUAGAAGAUAUCGGACCUUGAGAAGGAUAAGGAGGUGGAUUGUUCGGUUGUUGGAACAUCGGGGCCUUUGCAAACCCGGCCACCGGUUGUUGUUGUUGUUCCAUCCUCCUUGAUUAUUAUCACCCCAAUUGCUUUAAUUAUUGCCACCCCAAUUGCCUUGAUGAUUACCUCUCCAAUUGCCUUGGUUACCUUGAUUAUUCCAAUUGCUUUGAUUAUUGUUACCACCACUCCAAUUGCCUUGGUGGCCUUGGUUGUUCCAAUUUCCUUGUGACCGCCAUUAUUGUUGAUUUUGUCCUUGAGCAUUGUUUCUUUGGCCUUGAUAAUUAUUGACAUAUUGAACUUCUUCUUCUUGCUCAUUGAACGAAUUACCUUGAUCAUAACCACUAUCAUCUUGCAUGAAUUGUUCCAGACGACUUUGCAUUUGUUGACCUUGUUGCCAUCUCUUGUUCAUCAUCAUAUUUACACAUUCCAUUGUAUUCACUUGUUUUGGCCAUUGAACUUGUUGAAGCUGCUUUGACCAAUUGGUUCAUUGUAGUUGUCAACUCGGCAAUAGCUUGCCCAUGAUCCUGUAGUUCAUUGUGUAGGUGAAUGACAUUAGGGUCAGCUUGAGGAACAUUGGCUUCACUUUGCCAUGCCGAUGAGGUAUCCGCCAUCUCAUUAAGAAUUUCACAAGCUUCGGUAUCGGCGAGUUGAUUUAUCAUACAUUGAUUUGUUGUGUUGAUCCCCCUGUAUAAGGUUUGUUGGAUCAUGGCCUCGGUCAUAUUAUUAUUCGGGCACUCUUUGACCAUGGUACGAUAUCUUUCCCAAAUCUCAUGCAAUGGCUCAUUGGGUUCUUGCUUGAAUGCAAGAAUCUCAUCCUGAAGUGCCACCAUAUGUUCUGGAGAGAAGAAUUUGGCAAUGAAUUUUUCUGUCAACUCAUCCAAAGUGUGGAUGGAAUGAUUGAGAAAUCUCUCUAACCAGUCCAAUGCCUUUCCCUGUAGAGAAAAGGAAAAAAGCCUCAACCGCAGCGCAUACUCGGAGACAUUUGUUUGCUUGCUCCCCCAACAAGUAUCGACGAACCUCUUGAGAUGCUUGUAGGCAUUUUGACUCCGAGCCCCGAUGAAGAAUCCCUGUUGGUCAAGUAGUGUAAGCAUCACAUUGGUGAUUUAAAAGUUAUCUGCCCUAAUACGGGGCGGGACUAUAGCACUUUCAUAACCCUCGUUCGGUAAUUGUCGGUGAGCUACUGCUCUUGGUGGAAGUGGGGGAGGGAUGGGAACAUUGUCUUGAGGCGGGCGGCCUCGUCUAUUUGCUUGAGGUUCAAGAGGAACCUCAUCCAUUUGGUCAUCAUCCACGUCCUCCCCCAUCGGCAAAUUCCCAAUGGGCUCGUUGUUGAGAGCCAUUUUCGUACCUAAAUCAAUUCAAAAAUAAAAUUUGUGACUCGGAAGGAAAAGAAGACAAUUUACACAAAAACCUAAAUAUAUAGCUAAAUCCGUUUAACUCCCCGGCAACGGCGCCAAAAAUAUUUGUCGCCCAAACUCACACCACAAAUAUAGGUAGUGAGGCGGUCGAAGCAAUAAUAAAAUCCAACGCGAGUCGAGGUCGAAUCCAUAAGGAGUUAGAACUGGGAUUAGGUAUAUAUUUAGUGUAAUUGUAUGAUGUGCCUCAAAUUACACUUUCACAUUCUUGUUUGUUGUUUCUAUUUCUACUUUGAGCUAUUGAUUGCAAUUAUAAAACUAGAAGAUAAUAUUUUGGUUGUUUUUCAAAUGAUAAAAGAUUUAGGGUCGUGACUUCCACCUAGGUAGUUACCUAACCUAGGUUGUAAACUCUAGGGAAAGUUUGAUUAGUCGAGGUUGUAAUAUAGCAAUCACACGCAAUUACCUACUCUAUACCUCUCGGUAGUUUGAGUGAUUUUGCCCAAUUUGACUUUUUCAAGUCCAAAUAGGUAUUGCACAAAACAAGUGAUAUAUACUCAAGUCGGGUCUUACUAUCUCUAGAUUUGACCCUUUAAUUGGGGCUAUCAAUUUUUUGAGUUCACCCCAAUUUCUUGUUAUCCAAAUAUUCCUAGACUUAGUCUCUCUUUCUCAAGUAGAGACUAAGUCAAAUAGGCAUGAAUUAAUGUUUGCAACCAUUAAUUCUUGAAUUCAAGCAUGAACUUGGCUAAAUAUCACUAGCCCAAUCACAAACAAGCCCUAAAUCAAAUACCCAUUAAGUACUCACAUUAGGGUUGGGCCACAACCCUAUCUAGAAAUUUAGUUACUCAUGAAAAAUGAAGAAUCUAAAGAAAAAAUUAAGAUAUAAUGCAUAAUAAUUGAUUAGGGAAAGAAAUUCUAAUGUUUAGAAACUAAUCUAGUACAAUAUUACUCAAAACAGUAAAGAAAACAGCUCAGGUGCUCUCCCAAAACUAAACUUAACCUAAAAAUGACAAAAAGUUCUAUUUAUACUAAGCUAAAAAUAUCUGACGAAAAUGCCCCUGCGGAGGUUGUGCGACCGCACAAUAAUGUGUGUGGUUCGCAUAAAUAGACUUGGCUUGACAGGUUCUAUCUCUAAGGCUGCACAAUUCUGGGUUGCGGCCGCACUCCUUCUUCUUGUGCGGACCGCACAUUUGUGAGUGUGGUCGCACUCUUGCUUCUGCGGCCGCACAAUUUUAGUGUGGUCCGCACUCCUUGACUUUUGACUUGAACUCAGCUCUCUGAUUCUUCUCUUCUGCGGACCGCACAAUUGUGAGUGCAUUCGCACUUGCCAUCCAGCGGCCGCACAAUUAUGGUGUGGUCUGCAUAUCUUCAGCUUGCCCAAAACCAACUCUCUGAAUCUCCUCUUCUACGGCCGCACAAUAUUUGUGCGGUCCACAUAAUCUGAAGAAAAACUGACAUGUCUCUUUUCUUGUUCUGCGGCCGCACACAGUAUUGUGCGGUCCACAUUGUGGGCCUUUUUACCUUAUUUUGGUCCUUGUCCACUUUUGACUCCUUUAAGAGUUGAUUUUGAUUUCUUUGGCUCAUAUUUCAACACUCCUGCAAGCAAGCACAUUUCAUUAGUUUUCAGAAAUAUUUUAAAGCAUUUUUUAGCUAAAAUGCAAGUAAAAAAGAGCAAAUAAGCAGUUAAAAUCCCUACUUAUCAGUCGCGUCAGCAGAAUUAGCCAAAACGUCCUCCUCGGAGAUGGCAAUUGAGCCCUUCGGUAGACCUGAGUUCAACAAGAGUAGAAGGUUAAUCAGUUUUCUUAUACGAAAGAAAAAAAACAAGAUUAGUUCAACCUACCAUGAUUCUUGGCCUUCCACUCAUAUUUAAGGGCUAGUUCUUUCCAUGUAUGGGUCUAGUUCUUUCCACGUAUGGGUCUCGGACAUAGUGACAUCCAAAAUCUUUUGGACCUAUUGGUCCAAGCCUUCAAUCCUCAGUGGAGUCCACUGAAUUGCUGAAAUAAGUGAAAGAAGAGGAAUCGGUAACAACAUGGGGUGAUCUUUAACUAGAAGAAGAGACAAACGAUGAACUUACCCUAUAUAUACCAGUUCACUUACCCUAUAUUGUAGGUUAUUAGUUAAGGUUUGUCAAACAAAGUUACGUGUAAUUAUUUUUUAAAUAGCCUGAUCGUGUAUAUAUGCACGGACAAUGGUUAAAUUUCAUUAUGGCAUUCAAUAAUUUUCUUUGGUUCAAAGUUGAGUUUUUUUUUUUUGUGGGUUUCCGGAGCGAUAGAGCUAAUGUAAUAUCGUAAGGGGUAAAAUAUGUUCAUACUUUAAUGAUCGCAUGAGAAAGAGACACGUGAAAGCGAAGACAGAAGACAGUCGGGCCCGAAGGCAAUAAUUUUGCUUGUUGUCGGAGAGAAUGAUAUUUAUAAAGGCAAAAUAAAUGUCUGUCACUCGGUAGUAUUUAAUAAAGAAUAUUCUACAGCAUUAAGUGCAUAGUCCAUUACAGAUAUUAUGGCAUUCACUGCCUACCGUUACACAUUCUUCAAUAGCCCUCAUAAUUGUCAUUUAAGAGGGGCUUGAUCCUAGGACCUUGUUCCAUAGGUGCAACUAUAAAUAGUGAGCUCUACCAUCAUUGUAAGAUAGACGAAUUUUCUGACAAGCAUACAAUUUGUUCAAAUCUAAAUAGCAUUUUACUUUCUUGCGUAUUUAUAUUGCUCUUACUGCUUCCCGAAGUUCUACUCCCGGGCUCAAGAUCUCUAUUGUCCUAUCUCGAUUUCAACGUUAAUUCUUAUAUUUUUGUCUAAUUUAUUUAUUAAUUUAGGAUUAGAUCGACUCUCUUGUCUAUAAAUUACGUAUAAAUUCAGUUGUAUUAUUUUACGGGUAAACAAUAUCAAGUCACCCCAACAGAAGUAAUGCUAGCUUUUAUUCACGGGCGUAAACACACCAACAAAAAAAAUUGUAAUUAACCAGCCAGGAAGGAAAAGUAAACAUCGGUGACUUAAAAAAACGAUAUACACGUUGUGGAAGUUUGGGGUUAUGGUGUCUAUAUACAAAAAAUGUAGAUAAGUAGUUUUCAAGAAAAUGAUAUGAGAGAUGAAAAUGUAACAAAUAUAAUUAAAAUUGAAUUCAAAUAGGAAGUUCAGAAAUGAUCAUGUUGUACUUAAGAUAAUGUGAUGAUUUGAUAAUUGAAUAUGGUAAACAGGGACUACGCAGACCUAAUAUUAUAUGGACGUAAAUUGUUUCGAAACAUCUACAAUCUUUUAAAAAACACUGUAAAGAUAUAAAGUAAUUAGCCGUUUCUCUUCCAUUAUCAUCUGCUUAGCCCUUUCUCUUCCAUUAUCCCUCACUGUAAUUAGAAAAAAAAAUGUAAAAGAAAAUGUGGAAGUAGCCAAAAACAAAACGUGGUUGAAAUAGAUAUGAUCCAUAUCCGGCAAUACCAACAAAUUAGGAUAAAGACUUGCUCAGUGUUGUCACGAGUCUUUUCUAUUCGAUUAGAAACUUCUAUAUUAGUAUAAUGAAUAAUUGUGAGAUUUUAGGAAGCACUUAUAGAAAACCCAUGUACGUAUUAAAAGAAAUAGUUUGAUAUUGAAUAAAUUAAAUGUGCUAGAUCAAAAUGGAAUAUAACACGUAUGCCAUAUAUCCAAUUCCAGCAAAUUUGAUGACUAAUAAUAGCACUAAACAUGUCGUUUGGAAUGAAUCAAUUGGGAUAUUUCUAGGAAGCUUCUGAAGAUGCACUUGUACGAUCACUAAAAGGGUACAGUUGGUUGGAUCAAAUAUUCACUUAAACAAUGAUGUUGUAUAGCCUUUUGCUCUAGUUCAACGCCAUUCUUAUCCUAUCCUAUAAGUUCAUGUACAGUUUACACGCUUCCAAUUGAAAAAAUAAUUGGUAGGAUGUUUCUUUUUGCAAAUACUCAAGUUGCGUUUGUGAUAAUUGCCUGUUUCACUUAUCAGCAGCUACUCCUGUUAUUGUAGUCUAGCUGUACACAAUAACCAUUUAAUGUAAUUUUCAUGUAUUGGCAUCACACACAUCAUAAAAAUAUCCUCUAAACUAUGUAGCACUUAUUUGGUUGAUCAUUACUCACUUAUCAUAUUUGUUUUAACUAGUGUUUCUACAUAAUUUUAAGAUUAUAAAAAGUGUAUAAAAUAAUAUUAUCACGUCAGAAGUGGAAACCAGACUUAUUUAUAUCAUGUCUCACCAUACCUCUCGUCAACGUUUCCACUUUGAUAAGAGUUAAGAAUACAGAUAAAAAAGUGCAACUCGGUACACAAAAUCCCUGCGUCCGGGAAGAGAGCACCCCCAAAGAGUGUAAGAUACGCAGACGGCACUCCAAAGCUCCCCUUCAAUUAAGAGUACAGAUACAUAUAUUAUUUUUUGUACUAAUUUAUAUUCACAUCAUGUAGAAUAAAAAGGAGCUACACUCCCAACCAAAAAUUUCUCCAUUCCCAAAGCACAAACUCGAAACUCAUAAUUGAGAAUGAGGUAACCUCGCUCACUCAUAAUUGAGAAUGAGGUAACCUCGCUCAUCGAACCAGUCUAGUACCAAUCUCGCAACAGUAUUGGCGCAAAAGGAUCGGUCAGCCUCUGGCGACACGUAAGUAAAGGUUCAUAUCUAAACACACUUCUUUGAGGCCCAAGGACCAAUGACAUAGGGUAUACAGUCUAACCGUGGACAAUUUUAUUCAUUUAAUGGAGUACUAUUUUACCCUUUAACUUAAAUCUUCGGCUAUCAAAAGUAUUUUCAAUUUCUACAGACUUGCAGCUUUCUCAUAAAGUAAUUUCAAGCAAAAUAUUUUGAUAGGAGUUCACAUUCUAAAACAGAUACAAUAAUAAAAUACCGUAACAUGAGCGAAUAAUACGUUUGACAUGCAGGUACCCAGCUAUCACAUCUUAGCGCACACAGAAUCCAAAUAAUUCACAUUUAACUAGUUCACAUAGAAACUGAAUACUUCAUUACAUGGGCAGAUAUCAUCUAAUGUUCACCAUUCCCGCACUAGCAGCAAGCAGGAAUCCCAAUAGAAAAUUGCACUUCCCUGAGAUGUCAGUAGGCCAUGUCUUCCUGCGAGUCAAAGAAGUCAAACAAUUGCGGCAAUAUUAUCAAAUGAGAAAUUAAUAUUACCUACAUAGCAUGUGGAUCUUAUUGCAACCUUACCAGAGCAACACAAGCAGAAGCAUACCCUUCAUCAUCAGUAGUCAUAUUCACGAGAAUGUGACCUAUCUGAACGCCUAUGAUCACGGUCCCUUUCUUUUGUCUCAGAUGCUCCGUGGUCAUAAGCAUAAUUAUCUUCCUCCAUUUGAUCAUAACGAUCAUCACCACGACUGGUAUCUUUAUAGCGAUCAUCACCAGCUUGAGCAUCUGGAUUCUCAUAGUCUCCUCGGCCUUGAUGAUGAUCAUAAUGGUCAUAAUGUCCAUGAUCAUCUUCAGGUUCUGCAUGAUCAUAGUUCCUUUCCCUGUCACCAUGCCUUUCCCGCUCAUGUUUAGAUUCACCAUGCUCAUAAUCAUAUUCUCUAUCACGAGAACGCCCACGACCCUGGUCCCCCUCACCUUCAUAGUCCUUACCUCUUUCCCUAUCCCUCUCACGGUGGCGAUCUCGCUCACGGUCCCUAUCUUUGCCCCGUUCGCGGUCACGUGUCCUGUCACGUUCACGGUCUCGAUCGCGGUCUCGUCCACGAUCUCUUUCUCUAUCCCUAGUUCUCUCGCGUUCCUUAUGAUGUUUGUCAUCUCUGUCGCGUUCCCUUGGCCUAUCAUGUGAACGUUCACGAGAUUUUUCUCUAUCUCUAUCUCGCACCCUAUCACGGGACUUCUCCCGAUCCCUGAUAAUAUGGAAAAUAAUAAUAUUAACUUCACAAUUUGUAAACUAAACAGGGUUGUAAAUCAGACAACUCAUCCUUGGAAAAGUAUAUAUAUGUCUGCAUGUCAGAUUGAGAGAAAAGAACACAAAGCACGUAUAACUAUAAAUGCAUAGGUUACCUUUCUCUGUCAUCUCGUACUCUUGGCUCUUCGGAGCGAGAUGCCGCCCUUCCAAUCUGAACUACCUCUCUGCAAAAUUAAAGGGGCAUAGAGUCAAUGAUAAUUAAAUAUCCAUGUAAAAAUUGAAGGCAAUAACUUACCAAGAAAGAUUGAUGAAUGUUCCACAAAUUUUCACAUGACAAUCAUACCAGUACAUCUGAGCAAUGAAAACUACUUUUCAGACAUUUUAUGAGUGAUCAUCAUGCUGAAUGCCAAACAAUAAUAACUUCCAAUUGUAGACAAGAUUUCAUGCAUAGAUGCUCCGGACAGCACUCUUUUUUUCAACCAAAAAUAGAGCAACAUAAACUGACUGCAGCAUCUAUACAUCCCAAAAGACAAGUUGAAAUUCAGAAGCAGUCUAUGUCGACUACAAGCACACAUGCAUAGUUAUCUCUGGCAGCCAUUAUUGCAGAGAACAGGAGACAUUUGCAUUGGAAUUUUUACUCCAUGGACAAUGGCAGCCAUUAUUGCAUAAAGUACAGCUACAUCAAGGUCCUUUUUAGCACUUCGCAUAUGUACAUACGACUAACACUCUAAAAGCUAAUCGAGUACCUAUUAACAUCUUCAGUUCCAACUCUUGUUGUUCCAAGUCCACCGCCAAGUCUGCGGGGACGCCAAUUGGGGACUGUUCUCCCACGUUCAACAUCAACCAGAACUCUUCUAUUAUCAAUCUUCUUUCCAUCAGCUUGUUUAUAAGCAGCUGAAGUUAUAUCCAAGGAAUUAGAAAUGGAAGUGAGACGGAAAAAGACAAAGAAAAAUAGGAGUCGAGUAAGAGAAACCUUUCAUAUCCCGUGUAUGCACAUACUCAAUGAAAGCAUAACCCCUGGGCUUAUUGUUUGUAUUGUCCGUAACCAGACGAACCUGAAACUCAAACAAUUAUGAAAUUAACACUACUAAUAAGAAUUAUAAUCAUGUUUGAUGCAGCGGUCAAAAAAGUUAUGCUUUUAUCCUGUCAACACGAUUAGGUACAGUAAGGUCCUAAUGGCACGGCAGGCACUAUGCCUAAUUAGCCGUGCUCACCUUUGAUUCAUAGAGCUCCCAGGCGAGAUGCAUCACCAUCACUGCUAGAGUUGCACAAGAACUGUGGCCUUAUGUUUGCAAUACAUUCUAACUCCCCUUACCAGGGAACAUUUUUUAAUAUAAAAUAAAUUAUUAUAGAAGUAUAGUCAAAUACCAGGUGUCUCCUGAAAUGCUUGAAACUUUUUUGAUAGCCUUUGAAUCCAAAAGUAAAAUCUUAGUAACAUAGAUGGGAUGUAAGAAGAAUAAAGAAGAAGAGAACAAGGCUGAUACUCCCACCAAAUUUUUACCCAGCACAGGCAAGUAUAUCUCCACUGUUGCUUGGAAUAAGAGGCCAAAGGUAAAUUGCAUCAUUGCUCUGCUCAUCUAGGUGUUCAACUUUGUUUCAUGCAAUGAAGAUCGGGCUCGGAAAUUGAAUGGUUACAUUUGGCAACUCAAGAAACAAAAAGUUACCAGAAAUUUAAGAUUUGCCCUUACCAGGAGAAUACCUAGGAGUUGAACCUCAUUACCUUUGUAGUUCUAGAAACUAAUGGAAUACCCAGAACACAUAGUACUUGAAACUAAUGAUAUCCAAACCAGGAUAAAAGGAAAAGUCAUCAAACUGAUUCUCAAUAAUUGGAGCCACUGUUACCUGAGUCAUAAGGACAUUCUGACCCUUAUUUUUCAAAACAAGGAAAUGCUAGUAACUUCGCAACAAAUUUUCAUGAAUGUCAGAGUGCAGCAUGCACCUUGAAGCACCAUGGAAGAGUGCUAGCAGUUCAAACAACAAUUCAUUUCUUAACUGCAACCUGAAGAGGUGCACCCAGAGGCACAAUUGAAAGAAAAAGCUCUUCUGAUAAAAUGUGGAUUUGCAAACUUGUAGCA